UACGUAGGGUGCAAGCGUUGUCCGGAAUUAUUGGGCGUAAAGAGCUCGUGAGCGGUCUGUUGUGUCGGCUGUGAAAUCCCUGGGCUCAACCCAGGGCCUGCAUCGGAAACUGUCGGGCUUGAGUAUGGGAGAGGUGAGUGGAAUUUCCGGUGUAGCGGUGAAAUGCGUAGAUAUCGGAAGGAACACCUGUGGCGAAAGCGGCUCACUGGACCAUUACUGACGCUGAGGCACGAAAGCUAGGGGAGCAAACAGG
rnacentral:rRNA from 1 species